rnacentral:rRNA from 1 species
AACGAACGCUGGCGGCAUGCCUAACACAUGCAAGUCGAACGAGACCUUCGGGUCCUGUGGCGCACGGGUGCGUAACGCGUCGGAACCUGCCCUUAGGUUCGGCAUAACUCUCCGACAGGGGUGCUAAUACCGGAUAAUGUCUUCGGACCAAAGAUUUAUCGCCUUUGGUUGGGCCCGCGUUGGAUUAGCUGGUUGGUAGGGUAAAAGCCUACCACGGCGACGAUCCAUAGAUGGUUAGAGAGGAUGAUCAGCGACACUGGGACUGGGACGCGGCCCAGACUCCUACGCGAGGGAGGAGUGGGGGAUAUUGGACAAUGGGCGAAGGGCUGAUCCAGCAAUGCCGCGUGAGUGAUGAAGGCCUUAGGGUUGUAAAGCUCUUUUACCCGGGAUGAUAAUGACAGUACCGGGAGAAUAAGCUCCGGCUAACUCCGUG